AAUCAACGCUGGCGGCGUGCCUCAGACAUGCAAGUCGAACGCGAAAGUUCCCUUCGGGGGAUGAGUAGAGUGGCGCACGGGUGAGUAACACGUAGGUAAUCUACCUUCGGAUGGGGAAUAACAACCGGAAACGGUUGCUAAUACCGCAUAAUGCAGCGGCACCUAAUGGUGACAGUUGUUAAAGCGGGGGAUCGAAAGACCUCGCGUCUGAAGAGGAGCCUGCGGCGGAUUAGCAGUUGGUAGGGUAACGGCCUACCAAGGCUACGAUCCGUAGCCGGCCUGAGAGGGCGGUCGGCCACACUGACACUGACAUACGGGUCAGACUCCUACGGGAGGCAGCAGUCGGGAAUUUUGGGCAAUGGGCGAAAGCCUGACCCAGCAACGCCG
rnacentral:rRNA from 1 species